rnacentral:rRNA from 1 species
AUUGAACGCUGGCGGCAGGCUUAACACAUGCAAGUCGAGCGGAGAUGAGGUGCUUGCACCUUAUCUUAGCGGCGGACGGGUGAGUAAUGCUUAGGAAUCUGCCUAUUAGUGGGGGACAACAUUCCGAAAGGAAUGCUAAUACCGCAUACGCCCUACGGGGGAAAGCAGGGGAUCUUCGGACCUUGCGCUAAUAGAUGAGCCUAAGUCGGAUUAGCUAGUUGGUGGGGUAAAGGCCUACCAAGGCGACGAUCUGUAGCGGGUCUGAGAGGAUGAUCCGCCACACUGGGACUGAGACACGGCCCAGACUCCUACGGGAGGCAGCAGUGGGGAAUAUUGGACAAUGGGCGGAAGCCUGAUCCAGCCAUGCCGCGUGUGUGAAGAAGGCCUUUUGGUUGUAAAGCACUUUAAGCGAGGAGGAGGCUAUCUGGAUUAAUACUCUAGGAUAGUGGACGUUACUCGCAGAAUAAGCACCGGCUAACUCUGUGCCAGAAGCCGCGGUAAAAC